AUGUUUAACGGCCGCGGUAUUUUGACCGUGCAAAGGUAGCGUAAUCACUUGUCUUUUAAAUGAAGACCUGUAUGAAAGGCACCACGAGAGUUUAACUGUCUCUAUUUUCUAAUCAAUGAAAUUGAUCUAUUCGUGCAGAAGCGAAUAUAAUAACAUUAGACGAGAAGACCCUAUGGAGCUUCAAACACUUAAAUUAACUAUGUAACCUUAUACCUCUAAGGACAUAAACAACACAUACAAUAUUUCUAAUUUAACUGUUUUUGGUUGGGGUGACCAAGGGGGAAAACAAAUCCCCCUUAUCGACUGAGUACUAAGUACUUAAAAAUUAGAAUAACAAUUCUAAUUAAUAAAAUAUUUAUCGAAAAAUCACCCACGAUUUCCU
rnacentral:rRNA from 1 species